GACAGAGGGUGCAAACGUUGCUCGGAAUUACUGGGCGUAAAGCGCGUGUAGGCGGUUAGAUAAGUCGGGUGUGAAAUCCCUGGGCUCAACCUAGGAACUGCAUCCGAAACUGCCUUUCUGGAGUGAUGGAGAGGAAAGCGGAAUUCCCGGUGUAGAGGUGAAAUUCGUAGAUAUCGGGAGGAACACCAGUGGCGAAGGCGGCUUUCUGGCCAUCAACUGACGCUGAGACGCGAAAGCGUGGGGAGCAAACAGG
rnacentral:rRNA from 1 species